rnacentral:rRNA from 1 species
CGUUAGCGGCGGACGGGUGAGUAACACGUGGAUAACCUACCUAUAAGACUGGGAUAACUUCGGGAAACCGGAGCUAAUACCGGAUAAUAUAUUGAACCGCAUGGUUCAAUAGUGAAAGACGGUUUUGCUGUCACUUAUAGAUGGGUCCGCGCCGCAUUAGCUAGUUGGUAAGGUAACGGCUUACCAAGGCAACGAUGCGUAGCCGACCUGAGAGGGUGAUCGGCCACACUGGAACUGAGACACGGUCCAG